CGGUGCUUCGGUGGAGGCGCGUGAUCCUGGCAGAAGUGGCGAAGAGUGUGGCCCCGCCGCCAUUUCAGGAAAGGGCAACGCCCUCAGGCUCCCUCUUCCCCCGCCCCUCGCUGGCGAACGAGCACCCGAGCCAAGCCCCGCCCCCUCCCUCACCCUCACCCGCCUCGGGCAUUUCCGCCGCUGGAGCCGAAGCUCUUCGCCCGCCGCCUGCCUCGCGCCAGACGAGUCCUUUAUGUCUGCGUCCGCGCUGCGCCUGCGCCGCCAGCGCCAUUUUUUUUUGCCGCCUCCGCCUCCCUCCCCCCGUUUCUGACUGACUCUGGAGCAGGGAAACCGCGAGCGAAGGGAGGAAGGGGCUGAGAGGAGGGAGAGAGAGAGAGAGAGAGAGAGAAGGCCCGCUGAGAGGAAGAGGAGGAGGCGGCGGCGCAGAGAGAGAGAGAGAGGGAGGAGGCAGGAGCGGCUGUGGGGCUGCGCCAGGCUCUCUUCCCCUCGUGCCUCCCCGCCCUCGGUGGGAGUCAUGCCCCGCGCCGCGCGCUCCUCUUGCUGCUGCUGAGGAGUUGCUCUUGAUGGGGAGGCGCCAGCGGGACUGCCGUAGGUACCUUCCGCCCAGGGCCCCUCCUCCUCCCCCCUCUCCCCUUCCCUUCCCGGGAGGCUCCGCUCGGGGGCUUUCCCUGCUUCGGGGCGGCUCCUCGCCCCUUUCCCUCCUUCUCUCCUUCCCUCCCCUCUUGGCGAGCCAGCUGCUCUGAACCGGGAACCUUAGGCGGGGAGGGGAGGGGAAUGCAUGGCCGGGGCCUGAGAGGCGGCAGGGGUCUGGGCGCGCGCGCCUGAGAGAGAGAGAGCGCGAGGGAGAGGGAGUAGUGCGUGGCGUGUCGCGCGCCUCCCUCCCUCCCUCCGCCCGCCAUUCUGGGGAAGCGAGCUCCUUAAAAUAGCCCUUGUCGUCCAAUGCACCACCACCAGCCUGACUCAGCGGCAGACAGUCCUAGUGGGGGGAGGAAGAUGGCGCACCCGGCGAUGCUCCCUCGGAGGGGGAGCGGCAGCAGUAGCAGCAGCGGCGUCGCCGUGGUGGGGCCGGCCCUAGAAGACCUCCCGCCCCCGCUGCUCCUCCAGCCACCGCCUGCCGCCGCCGCAUCCUCCUCUGCCUCCCCUGCUGGGCCGCAGGGGCCCCCGCCCCCUCCGCCACCGCAGAGCCUGUCGCUGCCCUCCCAGCCCGGGGCCCCUCCGGUGCCGAUGCCUCUCCCUCCGGCGGGGCAGGCCGGGGCCCAGAUGAAGAAGAAGAGCGGCUUCCAGAUCACCAGCGUGACCCCGGCCCAGAUCUCCGCCAGCCUCAGCUCCAACAACAGCAUCGCCGAGGACACCGAGAGCUACGACGACCUGGACGAGUCCCACACCGAGGACCUCUCCUCCUCGGAGAUCCUCGACGUCUCCCUGUCCCGGGCCACCGACCUGGGCGAGCCUGAGCGCAGCUCCUCCGAAGAGACGCUGAACAACUUCCAAGAGGCCGAGAGCCCCGGGGCCGUCUCCCCCAACCAGCCGGGCCUCCCCCAGCAGCAGCAGCACCUCCCUCCGGCCUUGCCUCAUGCACCCCAGCAGCAGCAGCAGGGCAUGGCGAUGAACGGGAGCGUUCACCCGCCUCACGGACACCAUUUCCACCACCACCAUCACCACCACCAUCAUGGUCAUCACCACUCCUCGCAUUCUGGGGCGGCUGGCCCAGUCGCCCCAUCCAGCCCAUCCUUUCGGAAGCUCUCUGCGGCCGGGAGCACUGAUGGGGCCUCUGCCACAGUGGCGUCUGUGCCUAUUUCUGCUGCAUCAUCCACUGGGACACCUGCAGCCGCCACCGUCUCUCAUUUCCGUGCUGCUGGGGUCCCUUCUGCUGCUACCAGCACAUUUGGUGGUGUGGCCAGUGGCGGGCCUAGCAUGGUGAGUGGCGUGCCUGGUCAUAUGCAUAAGAAUCUCAGUAACAUCCCAAGUACAGGUGGGGGAACCCCUCUGCCUGGAGCAAGCAGCAGCGUGAACGUGGCUGUCCUGAGUGGGGUCAGCAAUGGCACGAGUGCUUCCUCCGGUAACUCUAGCAAUCCAGUUGCCGGAGCAGCGCCUAGUCACCUGCAGCCUGCAGCCAGCACCUCGAGGUUUAGAGUGGUGAAACUGGAUUCUAGUUCAGAGCCUUUCAAGAAAGGCAGGUGGACAUGCACAGAGUUCUAUGACAAAGAGAACCCUGUCUCCCUCGCGGAAGGAGUAGCUGCAGUCAACAAAGCCGUAGACACUCUGAAACAAAACCCUCUCGAAGGGACUUCUGAAAGGGAGAGUACCAGUGGGAGCUCGGUGAGCAGCAACGUAAGCACGUUGAGUCACUAUACGGAAAGCGUGGGAAGCGGAGAGAUGGGAGCACCUACUGUGAUGGUGCAGCAGCAGCAGGCAUUUCAAGGGGCUGUUUCUCAGCAAGUGGAUUUUGGCGCCACUGGCCCUCAAGCUGUGCCAGCUCCCAGUAUGCCCCAGAGCAUUUCCCAGUCACAGCUUGCACAAGCACAGCUUCAUCCUCAGGAUGUGAAUUAUUCUCAGCUACAGCAAGGGGUCCAGCCCACUCCCUCAGCUGUUCCUCCUCCUGUGAAUAUCGUUGGUGGCCAUCCGCAGCCUGCUAUGGCACCGGCACAGCAGCUGCCAUACACCCAACAAUCAUCCCAACCUGUGCAGGCUGUUCCAGUUGUGCCGCAAUCACACCAGUUGCCGUACGGGCAAGGACAGGCACAGCACCCUCCACCACCUCAGCAGAUGCCCAUGCAGAUGGCCCCAGGGCACAUUCAGCCAGUGAAUCAAAACUCUGUUACAGGAUCUGUGCCAGAUUACAUGCAGCAGCAGCAACAACAACAACAACAGAUGGUGCAAACCCCAGCUUCUUCUAUGCAGACUGGUCCUCCAGUGGUGGGAACAGGUACGCCUGUCCCUGUUGCUCAGGCCCCAAGUGUGCAGCCUUCAGUACAAGCACACUUGGCAGUGGCAUCCUCUCAGCCUGUUGCCCAUGCCCAGACAACAAUGCAGACCAUUGGAGCUAGUGCUCAGAUGAUGAAUGUUGGUCCACAAGCAAGUGUACCUCCUGUGGUGCAGCAGCCACCGCCUCCUGUUACAAACCAAAUUACCCCUCCAGUGAUGGCACAAAGUACUGCUCCUCCACCUUCUCAAGCCGUGCCCCCUGUUGCAGCAGGGAUGAUUCAUCCAGGGCAGCAAGGCAGCACAUCAAGCCUUGCUCAGCCAUUGGUGAUUGCACCACAGAGUACCCUACUCCAAGCAUCAGAAUCUCUUGCUCAAGGACUUGCUGGUCAGCUGCCCCCUGUGAGCCCAAUACCUUCUGUUAGUGCUGUCCCUGCCCCAGGCCACCCUGCUGCCAAUGUCUCCCCUGCUCCGAUGAGUUUGGCUGCUUCAAAGAACAUAGCACAGUCUUCUGGUGUGCAGAAUGGGAACUUGGUUCAAAAUGUGUCCCAGCCUUCGUUAAUGUCAACUAGCAUCAAUUUGCCUAUAGCUCCAAAUUUGUCCGCACAGAUACCACUGAACUCUGCCCAGUUUUCUGCACAGUCUCUUGCCCAUGCAGUUGCAUCCCGUGCUGAAGAGGCCAGGCGCUCUACAGAACCCACCUUGAUUGGCUUACCCCAACUUAUCAGCGGUGAAGGCGGAGGAAGUACAUCCUCGUCCAUUUCAGAUGGAGGCAACAGCAUGGCAUCCUCUCUUUUCCCCUUGAAGGUACUUCCAUUGACAUCGCAGCUGGUUGAUGGUGAGGAUGAGAGUUCUUUCUGCUAAUUUGCUAAACUCUCUUAACUUCUGACUGGAGAAUGAAUGGAGAAAUGACUUCUUCAGAGGCAACAGACAACACUUUACCCUGCCUUUAGAGACUGCAUGAAGGAUGCAUUCCGUAACUUGAAUGCAAAGCGGAGCACAACCCUCCAUCCUUACAGAUACAGAAUGACUGAGUCUAACAUUGCACAGUAGUAUGCCCAUGAAGAGGCACUGCCAAAGUUAAUAAUGUCUAGUGCAAAAGCUGGGAAAUGUGACUGAGCCAAGCAGGUAGGUAAAUAUGCUUGACAUGUGGAAGGAGAAUAUUACAAGCCAACACAUACAUGAUUUGCAGUACUGCAAAGCUAUCAUUUUGGGGAUAUUUUCUGUAGGGUAGAAUAUAAUUCAGUAUUCCUGUAGGUAGUAUUCAUUUGUUAAUACUGCCUUUGUAGUUGACCCCCGUGUUCUCUAGGAAUGUUAUAUAGCUUUACUGGUUUAACAGGUCUUUAGGACAAAGGCCUGUUAAACCAGCAAUUAGAACACAAUUGAAAUUUGUUAACUCAUGUGUUUAUGCAAGAGUAUGUGUUCUAGUAGCAAUGGCUAAUUUUAUUACAGGCAUGGAAAAUCAGCAGUUACAGAAACACUUCUAUGCAUAUGCAUGUAUGUCUAAAAGAGAGAGAAAAAGUCCAGUCAUUUUAUCAAAAAAGUGGAAGCAUGUAGGAAAUAUGGUGUAUCUGCAUUACUAAAUUAAUUAAGUUAAGCAACAGGCCAGGUAUUCCAUGCAUAUGACUAGGCAAAGCAGUGUCCAUGUUGGGUAACGCAUGAGCCACCAAGUUGGUUAAAACUUCAGUAAUACAAAAUUGUGGUUGUAUUUUGAAAGAUGAGUGUAUGAUAGUUUGAAACCUUGCAGGGAUAACCGCUGCCUGGAAAAAAACAAUUUAUCUCCCAAUCUUCCUAUUGAUUGCAUUGAUUCCCAACCUUUGGUCCUCCAGAUGUUUUGGACUUCAGCUCCCACAAUUCCUGUAAGCUGGCUGGGAUUUCUGGAAGUUGAAGUCCAAAACAAUUGGAAAACCAAAAGUUGGAAAGCACUGAUCUAGUGUGUUAGGUGUAGUAUCACAUCCAUCCACGGGAAAUGUGCAUGUUUUAAAUUGUUUCAAAUACGUUUAGUUUAAGGUUCUGUUAAAAACAUUAUGAUGAGAUUCUGCAAACCAAAUUAAAUGGGUUUCAAAAUCAAAAUGCUGUUGGAACUCUAGACAUGUUUGAAACAAAUUAUAUAAUGAAGUAUCACUGUCCCAUUUCUCCUAAAGCCUCUCGUCAAGAAAAAACAUCUUUACAUUAGCUAAAAUUAGUGAAGUCUUCAGUAACUUUUAAAAUACACUUUGUAACUGUUUGUAACAAAGGCAACAUGUCGUCACUUAUUUUAUUUGAGUUCUUCGUAGAAUGUAAACCUCAGACGAAGUCACGGCGAACCAGGGAUAAAAGGAGUCAAUAGUGAAUCUGCCAAACCAAUGUGAAGAAUGCACAUAGAAUCACUGAAAAUUACCACCCAGCUCUGCUGACAGGAUUCCCCUUAGAGUUCUGCCCUCCUUGGAACUAGGGGGAAAACAACAUCACCAUAAAUAAGAAAGGAGGCAAACCUGGGUCCUGGAGGACUUGGAUCAUUGGAUGGAAGAAAAACAAAGACCACAAGAGUAACUGAUGGAUCAAAGAAUUCAGCCUGUUCUGAAAGCUCUUUUUUAAAGAAAGGAUCCAAAGUGAAUGGCACUAUGGUUUUAAUAGUCUGCAGAAUAAUUUUAGUAUCAAGCAAAAGCUUAUUAGUGCACUCAUUUUCCUGGCAUCUUGCAGAUCUGUUGUAUUACAGCUAGCAUCAUCCCCACGGAUUGUCACUUAGUUCGGAGCAAUGGGACUUAUAGUGCCACAGGUGUGGAGGACACUUGCUUGGAAAAAAAGGCCGUGUUACUCUUUUGAAUAGGACAUUUGAAACAAAUAAGUGCAUGAUGGCACUGAGUUAAUCACUUGUUGAAAAUGCCUCAGCAAGCUCUCAUUUUUGUAAAGUCACAGUAGGUUAUUGUUAGCAAAAUGAUUGUUUCAUUGCUAAUGAACUUUCUAACAAUUUAAAACCAGUUUUUUUUAAAAAAGCCUGUAAAUGUAUAGAACAUGUGUAUUUAGCAAAUGAAAGUUGGAAGUGAGAAUUGGUUUUCUUCUAAGCAAGUUUAAUAAAAAUGUUUUUCAUUUUUUCUUAA